CCCCACCCUCACCAGGCAUGGCUCAGGUCAGGACUUGGCUCUGCUCCUCACUAUGGCAAGACAUUGUCAUGAAAGAAGGCAGGGCUUUGACUAAGAUCCUGGUGCAAGUUCAUCAUUCCAGGCAGCUGCUCCAGACCAUUUUUCUCACUGCAGCUGUGCCGUCAGGACUCGCCACACAAAGCUCAGUCUCCAAACUACACCUGUUGGCAAUGUUGCUGUGCAUGGUUCAAAUUGGUUCAGAGCUAACAGUUUUGUCGGCAAUGAAGCUAUAAACAAAUUUCUCAUUUUGCAUCAUCAUCGUAUUCAAAUGACACGUGCAUUGUGUCAUCCAUAACAGUCCAUCAGGUCAUGAUGGAAAAUCUUUUGGUAGUUUCAUUUAUUCUGACUUCUAUCACUGAACUUCUAUUUCACUAACCAGCUCCUUGAUGUGCUGAGAAGUGGUGUCUUUGGAAAGUUGUGCCCAAGCUCUUUCUAUGCCACAGACACACCCAAUAUUUUCAAGCUAUGACUUUGGUGCUUCAAGCCUGUGAUGCAGUUUUCCAUGAACAUGUCAGCCUUCAUGUAUACUUGUUUGGUAACUUGGUACCAAGGUACCACUUUGUCAAGAACCUGAAAAGUACUGGUUUAUGUAUGUGAAACAUUAAAAAUCUGGUGCUGCCAGCUUCUCAACUUAA